CAUGUAUGCCUCCAAAAUUUUCGACUUUUCUUCUCCCCUCCCAAAUUUCCCACUCCCUUCCUCCUCUCAAAAUUUCACAAUCGUUCUUCCCUCUCGAGGCUUCUUAAAAUCAUCGCAUUCCCUUUCUUCCUUUCUUUGUUCUUCCAUUUCGCUCACGAUAAUUCUUUAGUUUCGAAUUAGGGUUCCUAAGAGUUCUUCGUCGACUCCUCCUGCGCAACUCUGGAACAACAUUCUGACGACAUCGAGUUCUACGCCGACUCCUCCUAUGAACUCCAAUGAAAGCUCGUCCAAGCCGCUAUCGCCGUUGACUCCUCCAGCGACGUUCAGUCCUCUUACUCUCCUCUUCUUGUAUAGCUAACACGAAAGAGAGAGAAGCAAAUGGAGAAGGUUUUGGAACAACAACACAGGAAAAGGAAGAAGAGAGAGUUAGGGUUUUAUCGAUUAACUCAAAAAAUGGAGAAGAGAAGGGAAAAUCAGGGGAAAUGAAUACUGUCGAUCGUGAUUCUCACCAGCGGAAGAGGUAUAAACACUAUAAGGUUUGGGUUAGGAAAGGUUCAAGGAGCUUCUGAUACUGGUGGACACUUGCCAAGCCUCUACUCUGUUCUUCCAGAUGAACAUAUCGAUAAUGGAGAACUUGGGCAAAAUGUGUUGUAUUUUGAAUGGAAACAGAACCGGUGCGUGAACAUGAUAGCACAUUUGUUCCAUGCUAAAAUUGGAGAAGAUGGAAAUGUUGUUGGAGUAAGAACUGUUGGCUUAUCAGAAGUUAUGAUGUUGGCAGGACUUGCAUUCGAGAAGUGGCAGAACAAGCAUAAGGCAAAGAGACUUGAGGCAUCAAACCUAUCUUUGGUGCUACAUCUUGGAUUGAGGAAACCAUGCCUUGAUUGUCCUUUAUCUUGGAAGUUUAUGAUAUUGUUUUAGGAUAAAACUAUACUUAGUUUAUUAUGAAUUGGGUAACAUUUCUUUCUUUGUAACUAUUUCUGCAAUAGGAUUACCUUGACUUCUAGCCUAUCCUUCUGUAACAUACAAUUGUUUCUCAAUUUAUUUUUUUAAAUUCCUUCCUACUCAG